ACCGAGUGAGGGCCCUCUGGGUCCAACCUCCCACCCGUGUUUAUCGUACCUUGUUGCUUCGGCGGGCCCGCCUCACGGCCGCCGGGGGGCAUCCGCCCCCGGGCCCGCGCCCGCCGAAGACACCAUUGAACUCUGUCUGAAGAUUGCAGUCUGAGCGAUUAGCUAAAUCAGUUAAAACUUUCAACAACGGAUCUCUUGGUUCCGGCAUCGAUGAAGAACGCAGCGAAAUGCGAUACGUAAUGUGAAUUGCAGAAUUCAGUGAAUCAUCGAGUCUUUGAACGCACAUUGCGCCCCCUGGUAUUCCGGGGGGCAUGCCUGUCCGAGCGUCAUUGCUGCCCUCAAGCACGGCUUGUGUGUUGGGCCCCGCCCCCCGGUUCCGGGGGGCGGGCCCGAAAGGCAGCGGCGGCACCGCGUCCGGUCCUCGAGCGUAUGGGGCUUUGUCACCCGCUCUGUAGGCCCGGCCGGCGCCCGCCGGCGACCCCAAAUCAAUCUAUCCAGGUUGACCUCGGAUCAGGUAGGGAUACCCGCUGAACUUAAGCAUAUCA
rnacentral:rRNA from 1 species